UUCUUGAUUCAAUUAAAAAAAAAUCUACAUUUUCCUUCCCCAGCAAUAAUGUAACCAGGAACUCAGAUGAGGAUGAUUCCCCUGGUCUGCUUCAGGAGGAUUCCUCAUCUUCAUUUAAGAUGGUGAUAAAUUCAAAUUCAGACUCCAUUAAACCUGAGUAGAGAAACCCAGCAGGUGGCUACACUAAUGGAAAAUCCUGGCCUUGGAAUAAUGGGAAUUGCAACCGACAGCUCCUCUAUACCACAAAAAAGAUGAUGUAUUCCU
rnacentral:lncRNA from 1 species